rnacentral:rRNA from 1 species
GUAGGUGGCAAGCGUUGUCCGGAAUUAUUGGGCGUAAAGCGCACGCAGGCGGUCCUUUAAGUCUGAUGUGAAAGCCCACGGCUCAACCGUGGAGGGUCAUUGGAAACUGGGGGACUUGAGUACAGAAGAGGAAAGCGGAAUUCCAAGUGUAGCGGUGAAAUGCGUAGAGAUUUGGAGGAACACCAGUGGCGAAGGCGGCUUUCUGGUCUGUAACUGACGCUGAGGCGCGAAAGCGUGGGGAGCAAACAGGGAUUAGAUACCCUGGUAGUCCACGCCGUAAACGAUGAGUGCUAAGUGUUAGGGGGUUUCCCGCCCCCUUAGUGCUGCAGCUAACGCAUUAAGCACUCCGCCUGGGGAGUACGGCCGCAAGGCUG